AAGAGGUAAUCAUGUGAAACAACUAAACAAAACUGUGGAGGCACCUUAUUUCUCGCUCCACUUUCAGUACCGGUGCGGUACUGACGGUACCGUCCUGUUCACACCAUGAGGAGAAAA